UGGCUCAGAUGGUAAAGUGCCUGUCUGCAAUGCAGGAGACCUGGGUUCAAUCCCUG
rfam:TPA: Bos taurus chromosome 12, whole genome shotgun sequence.